GCGGUUGUAGCUCAGUUGGUAGAGCUUCUGAUUUCCAAUCAGAAUGUCGCCGGUUCGAACCCGGUCAGCCGCUCCA
rnacentral:tRNA from 2 species